UCUUGCCACUGCACUCCAGGCAGCCUGGGUGACAGUGUGAAGCAAUGUCCCAAAUAAACAAACUAAAAAAGGCUUUCUUCUGUAAUAGUGUGACUAUUUGUCCCUGUCUAGAGCUUUAAAAUUAAGGGAAUGGAGUCAUUACAAAGGUCGUUGCUUCAAAUAGUUUUGUUUUUGUUUUUAUUUUGAGAUGGAGUGUUGCUCUGUCACCCAGGUUGGGGUGCAGUGGCACAAUCAUAGCUCACUGCCACCUCAAAUUCCUAGGCUCAAGGGAUCCUCCCACCUCAGCCUCCUGAGUAGCUGGGACUACACGCCUGUGCCACCAUACCCAGGAUUCAAGAGUCAUCCCACAGGGGUGUGCCGGGAAAAGGGUGGUGAAAGGCCAGGCUGGAGUGCCGGUCCCCGUGGAAAGGCCCCACAGCCGAGGAUCAGCCCUACUGCUACCUGGACUAAGAUCUUGUCCACACGUGUUAAGUGCACUUGGAGUACUACCGGGAACAUCGCCCUUGGGAAUGCCUUGGCAUGUAAUAGUUUGAAGCGAGUAAAAACUCACAGCUAGCUAUACGCUGUAGGUUAUUUCAAAGAAAAUCAUAUAGACAGAUAAAGCAUAUGUGGCAAAUUUUUGCCAAUUGGUCAAUUUGGGUAAAGACUAUAUGGGAGUUUUGUUUGUUUUGUUUGAGACAGAGUCUCGCUCUGUCGGCCAGGCUGGAGUGCAGUGGUGUGGUCUCGGCUCACCGCAACCUCCGCCUCCUGGGUUUCAGCAAUUCUCCUGCCUCAGCCUCCAGAGUAGCUGGGAUUACAGGCGCAUGCCACCACACCCAGCUAAUUUUUUGUAUUUUUAGUAGAGAUGGGGUUUCACCAUGUUGGCCAGGCUAGUCUCGAACUCCUGACCUCAGGUGAUCCAUCUGCCUCAGCCUCCCAAAGUGCUGGGAUGACAGGCAUGAGCCACCGCACCCGGCCUGAGUAUAUGGGAGUUAUUUGUACAAAUCUUCUGCCUCAUAUGUAAGUUUGAAAUAAUCUCAAAAAGCUGAAGAAAAAAAAGUAAAUAUCUGAAUUUGAGCACAUCCAUUUUUACAUAAACCAUCAGCCUGUUAGUGCUUUUGGAUGGAGGAAGAGUAUGGGUGCUUAGACUCUGCUGAAGGACGCUGUCCUUUUUGGAAAAUACAACAAGUGAAUGAAGUCUAGCCCAUCCAAGUGCCAUUCCCUGGAACGCUGUGUUCUCACCCAGGCUCUGCUGGUUGGAAGCUGUGUGACCUUGGGUGAGAAAUCUAACCUCUCUGAACCUCGGUGUGCUCAGCUGUGAAAUUAAAGUAACAUACCCUUUGUCAUCGCUCGUAAUGUUAAGGAAGAUUAAAUGAGAUCAUCAAGGAGUAAUUUGCAUAUUGUAAGAAACAAAAGAUUAAGAAGGGAGGUAGAAAAACAAAGGUUAACAAAAUUGCUUACCAAAAACAGGUCCCGGAUAAAGAACUUGGCUCUUGUAACUUUGGGAUCUUCUCCUGCAUCUGGUGUUGCUGUAGAAAUGACAAAUGGAACUUUAUUUAAGCAACAUGAAACAAAGAUACAACUCUACGAAAACACAGAAGGAAUUUCAACGUUAGACUGCUGUAUAUUCCCAGCAUUAAAAUACAUGUACAGCAAGGCAAAAA